rnacentral:rRNA from 1 species
GAUGAACGCUGGCGGCGUGCCUAAUACAUGCAAGUCGAGCGAACGGACGAGAAGCUUGCUUCUCUGAUGUUAGCGGCGGACGGGUGAGUAACACGUGGAUAACCUACCUAUAAGACUGGGAUAACUUCGGGAAACCGGAGCUAAUACCGGAUAAUAUUUUGAACCGCAUGGUUCAAAAGUGAAAGACGGUCUUGCUGUCACUUAUAGAUGGAUCCGCGCUGCAUUAGCUAGUUGGUAAGGUAACGGCUUACCAAGGCAACGAUGCAUAGCCGACCUGAGAGGGUGAUCGGCCACACUGGAACUGAGACAUGGUCCAGACUCCUACGGGAGGCAGCAGUAGGGAAUCUUCCGCAAUGGGCGAAAGCCUGACGGGGCAACGCCGCGUGAGUGAUGAAGGUCUUCGGAUCGUAAAACUCUGUUAUUAGGGAAGAACAUAUGUGUAAGUAACUGUGCACAUCUUGACGGUACCUAAUCAGAAAGCCACGGCUAACUACGUG